UGCAGUCGAGCGAACGGACGAGAAGCUUGCUUCUCUGAUGUUAGCGGCGGACGGGUGAGUAACACGUGGAUAACCUACCUAUAAGACUGGGAUAACUUCGGGAAACCGGAGCUAAUACCGGAUAAUAUUUUGAACCGCAUGGUUCAAAAGUGAAAGACGGUCUUGCUGUCACUUAUAGAUGGAUCCGCGCUGCAUUAGCUAGUUGGUAAGGUAACGGCUUACCAAGGCAACGAUGCAUAGCCGACCUGAGAGGGUGAUCGGCCACACUGGAACUGAGACACGGUCCAGACUCCUACGGGAGGCAGCAGUAGGGAAUCUUCCGCAAUGGGCGAAAGCCUGACGGAGCAACGCCGCGUGAGUGAUGAAGGUCUUCGGAUCGUAAAACUCUGUUAUUAGGGAAGAACAUAUGUGUAAGUAACUGUGCACAUCUUGACGGUACCUAAUCAGAAAGCCACGGCUAACUACGUGCCAGCAGCCGCGGUAAUACGUAGGUGGCAAGCGUUAUCCGGAAUUAUUGGGCGUAAAGCGCGCGUAGGCGGUUUUUUAAGUCUGAUGUGAAAGCCCACGGCUCAACCGUGGAGGGUCAUUGGAAACUGGAAAACUUGAGUGCAGAAGAGGAAAGUGGAAUUCCAUGUGUAGCGGUGAAAUGCGCAGAGAUAUGGAGGAACACCAGUGGCGAAGGCGACUUUCUGGUCUGUAACUGACGCUGAUGUGCGAAAGCGUGGGGAUCAAA
rnacentral:rRNA from 1 species